GCGUAAAGCGAGCGCAGGCGGUUCCUUAAGUCUGAUGUGAAAGCCCACGGCUCAACCGUGGAAGGUCAUUGGAAACUGGGGAACUUGAGUGCAGAAGAGGAGAGUGGAAUUCCAUGUGUAGCGGUGAAAUGCGUAGAUAUAUGGAGGAACACCAGUGGCGAAGGCGACUCUCUGGUCUGUAACUGACGCUGAGGCUCGAAAGCGUGGGGAGCAAACAGGAUUAGAUACCCUGGUAGUCCACGCCGUAAACGAUGAGUGCUAAGUGUUGGAGGGUUUCCACCCUUCAGUGCUGCAGCUAACGCAUUAAGCACUCCGCCUGGGGAGUACGGCCGCAAGGCUGAAACUCAAAAGGAAUUGACGGGGACCCGCACAAGCGGUGGAGCAUGUGGUUUAAUUCGAAAACAACGCGAAGAACCUUACCAGGUCUUGACAUCCUUUGACAAUCCUAGAGAUAGGACUUUCCCUUCGGGGACAAAGUGACAGGUGG
rnacentral:rRNA from 1 species